AGUAGUUGUAGUAUUACUAAAUUAUUAAGUUGUAUCGAACAAAUUGCGUUUAAAUUGAAAACGCCGUAAAGAUUAUAAAACGUAAGCCCUACGUAUUUUUCAUAUCGUUACAGAAUAUGAUAUACGUAUUGCUGUUAUGCAGCAGUUUCGCUGCCUUCUCCGUAGUGGCGAGAAAAUCAGGCGAUGGUCAAAGAGAGAAAACAGAUAUUUCUCGAGUAAAAAUCAAAGUGUUUCGAGGACCAAAUCAAGAAGAGAUGGGUAAAAAAUUCGCUUCGUGGGGAUUUUGGGUGAAGCAGCCUAGUGGCAAUUAGAAAAAAGGGCUGAGCAUUUCCAUUAAUUCCUUGUAGUACGUUUAAAAUAGGUAUUACAGAUUGUAUUUUUCUUAUGAUAUCUGUUACCGUUGACAUUGUACUACAUUGUUUCAAAGUUUUUAAAAUAUAGAAUAAAAUUAUCAGUUUUAAUAAUA
rnacentral:lncRNA from 1 species